UACGUAGGGUGCAAGCGUUGUCCGGAAUUAUUGGGCGUAAAGAGCUCGUAGGCGGUCUGUUGCGUCGGCUGUGAAAACCCGAGGCUCAACCUCGGGCCUGCAGCCGAUACGGGCAGACUAGAGUUCGGCAGGGGAGACUGGAAUUCCUGGUGUAGCGGUGAAAUGCGCAGAUAUCAGGAGGAACACCGGUGGCGAAGGCGGGUCUCUGGGCAAUUCCUGACGCUGAGGCGCGAAAGCGUGGGGAGCAAACGGG
rnacentral:rRNA from 1 species